rnacentral:rRNA from 1 species
AUUGAACGCUGGCGGCAGGCCUAACACAUGCAAGUCGAACGAGUGGCGGACGGGUGAGUAAUGUCUGGGAAACUGCCCGAUGGAGGGGGAUAACUACUGGAAACGGUAGCUAAUACCGCAUACCAUCGGAUGUGCCCAGAUGGGAUUAGCUAGUAGGUGGGGUAACGGCUCACCUAGGCGACGAUCCCUAGCUGGUCUGAGAGGAUGACCAGUCACACUGGAACGGAGACACGGUCCAGGCUCCUACGGGAGGCAGCAGUGGGGAGUAUUGCACAAUGGACGAAAGCCUGAUGCAGCCAUGCCGCGUGUAUGAAGAAGGCCUUCGGGUUGUAAAGUACUUUCAGCGAGGAGGCGUGACUCGCAGAAGAAGCACCGGCUAACUCCGUGCCAGCCGCCGCGGUAAUAC